CAGGUUGCUGGUCUCUUCCCUGUUGAUCAUCUUUAAUCUGUCCUGUUCUGUUCUGUUCUGUUCUGUUCUGUCAGAGCGUUUUGUGAGACAAACAUUCGGGUUCUGUUGGAGAAGUGAUGACAAAAUGUCAGAUUUGACACGAGGGUCUGCAACACAAACGUUACAACAUGUCAUAGAGAUAAUGGUGUCAGUGGCUUGUACGCUUCCUCCUGUCAGCUGUCCCACAAUCCAACAACACGUCUCAUCCUGUAGACGACGACGUUGCGGUCGUGCGACUCAGCAUGUCAGUCAGAAGUGAUGCUGACGAUGAACGUGUCUGAAAUCUGGAUUCACUGCUCAGCUUUGACGAGUGAACAUCUCUUUGUAAACUUUUAACGUGAACGUGAUGAGACGCCUCCUGUAGACACUUGCAUCUGCAGAAGCGAGGCGCUCCCGUGUGAUCUCUGAGUAUUGUGUGUGAAGCAGACCACUUUUCAGAGCGAUGCCGGCUGACGGGAGAGAAUGGAGGAAAAGAAACUUGAGAGAAAUGAUUGCAGAGUGGAGUGAACCUGUGAACCCUGCAGCAUGAAAGCCGGGGGUGGAGGAGGCCAAUGAACAAUCAGGCUGAGAGUGAAGAAAGUUCACGUUUAAUGGUCUGUUUGCAGAUGCGCCCGCUGCCUCGUCUCACAUUCACGAGGCAAACUGAGCUGACAGUUAUCUCCCGCUUUGUUACCGACUGGCCUUUACGCUCCUCACUUAUGUUUCCACGUGGAAAAAUAUCAAUAUACCCAGAUACAAUCUUCUUUAGACUGGAUUAGAUGUGACACGGGAUCAACCAUGUGCAGUCGGACAACCUUUGGAUGAGAGUGUUUUUUUUUUUUUGUUUUUUUUUUUCACAAAAUGUUUCAAAAUGAGUUACAA